ACCUCAUGGUUUGGACAUUGCCUUAGUUUUUCAUUGAAUCAUUCCCACACUUCAUACAAAGGCUCUCUAUUCAAUUGUCUAAAGUUUAUGAUCUUAUCCCUCAGGU
rfam:Capsicum annuum cultivar Zunla-1 chromosome 7, whole genome shotgun sequence